rnacentral:rRNA from 1 species
AUCCGGAGGGCGCGAACGUUGCUCGGAAUCAUUGGGCGUAAAGCGCACGUAGGCGGCCUGAUAAUUCGGAUGUGAAAGCCCACGGCUCAACCGUGGAAGUGCAUUCGAAACUGUCAGGCUUGAGUAUGGGAGAGGGUUGCGGAAUUCCCGGUGUAGAGGUGAAAUUCGUAGAUAUCGGGAGGAACACCAGCGGCGAAGGCGGCAGCCUGGACCAAUACUGACGCUGAGGUGCGAAAGCGUGGGGAGCAAACAGGAUUAGAGACCCUAGUAGUCC